ensembl:lncRNA
AAAAGAUGCACAGGGAGGAAGUUUUCACAAAUCUUUGAGGGUGCGAAGGUGAACAUAUCUACUGGUAAAUACACACCAACAGAUAUGGAGAGCAAGCUGAUGUUUUUGGUGGUUUGUGUGAUUGGUUGUGCAGUGUCUUGCAUAAAGGCUGACGGGCACCUAUCAACGCCAACAAAUUUAACUUCCAACAUCACCCGCAAUGAGUGUGGAAAAACCAAACUGUGUUUGGACAACCCUAAAGGAUGUGAUCCUUCAGGCAGCUCUCAGUGUUUCUUCACCUCAGUACAGAUUAUCUUAACUACCUUCAACCUGACGGUUGAGCUCAGUGGCAACUCCAUCGGUUACAUUGCUUUAGCAGCUGGAGUGACAUCUAGUGUGGCUCAGGGCCUCAAUAUCAUCUUUGUCUGUGGCAAUAAUAAUGGCAGGUUCUUCUUCCGGACUGCAACACUCUUUAAUAAUACACUGCUGACAACAAAUGUACCCAAUGUAAACAAUAUCCAGGGUUCAAUACAACCAAGCUUGAUUCAGUGUGUUUUCAGCAUCCCCAUUGAUACAAACACCCUUAACUUCCUAAGCAAUGUCAAUGCCACAAAUGUCAACAUUAGCAACAUUGCUAAUUCCCAGCUGAAUGUUUUCCUUGACAUCUUGCAGGGUUCAACCAAUGGAACUGUUCUGGGAGAACCAAAAAGUGUAUUUGGGUCCUCUGUUCCAGUGGAUCUAGCUAAUGUCAACUCCACUAAUGUUGUUGACCCCAUAGCUAAUUCAAAAGACAGCAUCUCACUCAACAGCCUACUGAGUCAUGCUGCAAUUUGCCUUCUCAGUAUCUUCUUGCAUCUGAUCUCAGGGUCCUGAGAGAGAGAUCUGAAGACUAACCAUGCUGUGGAUGGAGUAGUAUAGAUUUGCACUAGAAUCAGCAUGUUUUCCUAAAGUAUUCAUACCUCCACUGGUGUCUUUCUUUAUUUGAUUCUUAGAUUAUUCACAAACAUAUAGGAAACCCAUGUAUGUUUGACAUACACAGGGUGUUGGACACAUAUAUAAAGCUUAUAUAUAAACAUACACAUAUAUAAAGCCCAAUCACAUACACACACACACACACACGCACGCACGCACGCACGCACGCACGCACACACACACACACACACACACACACACACACACACACACACACACACAUUAUCUUUUACAUUAUACUGACAGUGGAAAUGAUCCUGAAAACUUUUUGAAGUUACAUUAAAAGCUUAUUAACAAAAAUAAUAACAUUAAAAUACAGUGUUUUUUUUUUUUUUUUCUUUCUGGGGUGAUAUUAUCUAUUACAUACACACUGAAUAAUAUCUUCACUGCUCAUUUUGCAUGAACACCAUUUUAAGAAUCUCUGUCUACCACAAAACAAUAUAUGUGGCAGAACUAAUUGAGAGUGGUGUUUUAGAUUCUAACGAUAUUAAUAAGUAGUAAUAAAUAAAUUAUAAAUAAUUAUUCUGGAAGAUCU